CGGCCGCUGUAUCUUGACGGUGAUAAUGUAGGAAAAUAAAUNGUUGUUUAAUUGACGAACGUAGGUGAAUGUUUUUACGAGGUUUCCACUGUCUUAAAUUUAAGUAAAUGAAAUUUAAAUAAUAGUGAAGAUGCUAUUUAAAACUGUAAGACGAAAAGUCCCUAUAAAGCUUAACUAUAAAUUUACCGUCAAAUGAAAAUUAAUUUUCAUUUGAUAUAGGUUAAUCUGGUAGUUUUGUUGGGGCAACAACAUUUUAAAAAUAAAAAAUGUAACCAUAUAUGAUUUAAAAUUCAAUUUAUUGUUUAAUUUAUAAAUUUAACAAUCACAAAGUGGGGUUAAUGAUCUGUCAUUUUCAAAAAAAUAAAUGACACUAAUUAAAUAAAAGCUACUUUAGGGAUAACAGGUUAAUUUUAUCCUAGAGAAGAUAUCAAAGAUAAAGUUUGACACCUCGAUGUUGAAUUAAGAUAUCCUAGUUAAUGCAGCAGUUACUAAGGGUUGGUCUGUUCGACCAUUAAAAUCUU
rnacentral:rRNA from 1 species